AAGGAUCAUUGUUGAAACCUGC
rnacentral:rRNA from 1 species